UCCGUCGCAAGAAGCGGAGGGAAAAAAAAAAGCAACAAGCAGGGAUAGAACCAGCGUUGGCCGCCGCGCACGUCGGGAGUUGUAGUUCUGGCUCGGCCGUGCGUCCUGCGCCGAUCUCCGGGCCCGCCGCGGCGCCCGCUGGCCUGGGGUUCCGGCUUACAGCGCGGGAAUUCGGGAACCCAGCGCGGGCUGCAGAGGCCCCAGCAGGAGCCCCGCCUCCUGGCUCGGCGACGGAUUCGUUCUUGGCCCUGCCAAUCUGAUUCUCAGCUCCCAGAACUUCACGAAUCUCUAGAUUGCUUACAAUACCUAAUACACUGUAAAUGCUAUGUAAACAGUUGUUACACUGUACUUUUUAUUCAUAUUAUUUUUUUUCUUAUUCUUCGGAGGGGACAGAUUAUUGGCCCAAGAGGGAAAUCCUUUUACAACCUACUUUUA
rnacentral:lncRNA from 1 species